UACGUAGGGGGCAAGCGUUGUCCGGAUUUAUUGGGCGUAAAGAGCGUGUAGGCGGUCAGGUAGGUCCGUUGUGAAAACUCGAGGCUCAACCUCGAGAUGUCGGCGGAAACCACUUGGCUAGAGUCCGGAAGAGGAGAGUGGAGUUCCUGGUGUAGCGGUGAAAUGCGCAGAUAUCAGGAAGAACACCUAUGGCGAAGGCAGCUCUCUGGGACGGUACUGACGCUGAGACGCGAAAGCGUGGGGAGCGAACAGG
rnacentral:rRNA from 1 species